rnacentral:rRNA from 1 species
AGGAUUAACGCUGGCGGCGUGCCUAACACAUGCAAGUCGAACGAGGUAGCAAUACCUAGUGGCAGACGGGUGAGUAGCGCGUGGUCAACCUACCGUUGAGUGGGGGAUAACUAGCCGAAAGGUUAGCUAAUACCGCAUACGUCUCCGAGGGGCAUCCCUUGGUGAUAAAAGGAGCAAUCCGCUCGAUGACGGGACCGCGUCCCAUUAGCUAGUUGGUGGGGUAACGGCCUACCAAGGCAUCGAUGGGUAGCUGGUUUGAGAGAGCGACCAGCCACACUGGGACUGAGAUACGGCCCAGACUCCUACGGGAGGCAGCAGUGAGGAAUUUUCCGCAAUGGGCGAAAGCCUGACGGAGCGACGCCGCGUGUGGGAAGAAGGCCUUCGGGUCGUAAACCACUGUCGAAGGGGAAGAUAAUGACGGUACCCUUGGAGGAAGCCCCGGCUAACUACGUGCCAGCAGCCGC